GCUAAGCGUGUUUUUUAGGCGGAGUGUCAGGUUCAUCGUACUAAUGAAAAUUCAGGAAAAUACUGGCUUGAAUUAUCGAGGCAUCUGAGUUAAAGCACU
rnacentral:miRNA from 1 species